rnacentral:rRNA from 1 species
CCUACGGGUGGCUGCAGUGGGGAGUAUUGGACAAUGGGGGGAACCCUGAUCCAGCGACGCCGCGUGAGUGAAGAAGUAUUUCGGUAUGUAAAGCUCUAUCAGCAGGGAAGAAAGGAAUGACGGUACCUGACUAAGAAGCCCCGGCUAACUACGUGCCAGCAGCCGCGGUAAUACGUAGGGGGCAAGCGUUAUCCGGAUUUACUGGGUGUAAAGGGAGCGUAGACGGCAGCGCAAGUCUGAAGUGAAAUCCCAGGGCUUAACCAUGGAACUGCUUUGGAAACUGGGCAGCUGGAGUGCAGGAGAGGUAAGCGGAAUUCCUAGUGUAGCGGUGAAAUGCGUAGAUAUUAGGAGGAACACCAGUGGCGAAGGCGGCUUACUGGACUGUAACUGACGUUGAGGCUCGAAAGCGUGGGGAGCAAACAGGAUUAGAUACCCCUGUAGUC